CAGACGUACAUUUAUAAGCCAUAUAAAAUGUGAAUGUGAUUCAUUUGGGAGUUUUGUGUGAACACUUUGAUUUUUAAAUCAGAGAAAAGAUCAGGAGGGCGUAGAGAUGAGAAUCAGAUAAGAAACCAGCUUCCCGACUCUGGUAUGGAACUUUUGGCAGCCCAUGGUGCAGCCAAGGUUAGCGCUUAUGUAACCCAUAUGGUGUGUUUCCUAAACGCUCAUCGGAGCGGUUCACUCACAAGGAUGGUAAGUGCUUGCAGAUGGAUAAUAUGGUUACUGUUGUUGAAGUUGCCACCAGAAGAGCAUAGGGUUGCAGACAGUCAACUGGUGAUGAAUUUUAUUUUUAUGUUUUUGGGAUCAGUUGACAUCUAGGUUGGGUUGCAGACACUAGUCGUCUAGGUUUGUUUUCGAGAGAGAUGUAUGUCUAGACUUGGAUUUAAAUUUGUUGACACUUGGAUAGCUUGUGAA